AUUGAACGCUAGCGGGAUGCUUUACACAUGCAAGUCGAACGAGUGGCGGACGGGUGAGUAAUAUAUCGACACGUGCCCAGUAUCGGGGGAUAACUACUCGAAAGCUUGGCUAAUAACGCAUACUAUUGGAGCGGCCGAUACUGGAUUAGCUAGUUGGUGAGGUAAAGGCUCACCAAGGCAACGAUCCGUAGCUGGUUUGAGAGGACGACCGGCCACACGGGGACUGAGAAACGGCCCAGACUCCUACGGGAGGCAGCAGUGGGGAAUGUUGGACAAUGGGGGAAACCCUGAUCCAGCCAUCCCGCGUGUAUGAGAAGGCCUUCGGGUUGUAAAGUACUGUUGGCAGAGAAGCGGUAUCUGCAGAAUAAGCACCGGCUAACUACGUGCCAGCAGCCGCGGUAAUAC
rnacentral:rRNA from 1 species